rnacentral:rRNA from 1 species
AAGCUGGUGGUGGGGCGGCGUCGACGGUAAGUCAGAGGGGGCAGUGGUGGGACAGAAUGAGUGGGGGUAGAGCGGGUGUAGGCUGAGAUGUAAGUCGUACGUGAAGGCCCUGGGCGUAACCAAGGAAGUUCAUCCGGUACGCUGUCGCGUGAGUACCGGAGGGGAGGGCGGAAUUCCCGGUGUAGAGGUGAAAUUCGUAGAUAUCGGGAGGAACACCUGUGGCGAAGGCGGCCAUCUGGACGGUAACUGACGCUGAGACGCGAAAGCGUGGGUAGCAAACAGGAUUAGAUACCCAGUAGUC